GCUCCUGGCCACACACUUCCAGAUGGACGGUCCCAAAGAGAAUCGUUUGUUUCCUCUCGUCUCCCUCCACCAUGCACUUUACGACUGCAGAGGGUCAGGCUCACCAUGUGUUUCCCUCUCAUCUCACCCGGCAUGUAUUCUCAAGGUCACCACAAGGCCCAACAUAGCUGCUGAAGCUCCAGCCAUCCUAUCUGCAUUCCAGCCCCUGCGGAGCCGAGUCUGUGAGCUGCGCUACGGUGAGGACGGCCUCGUCCUUUCCUGCCCUCCUUUCCGGAUCACCAGCGAGUCUCCCAAGGAGCGUGUGCUCCCUGAGUCCGCUCUGACUGAUGGGCGUUGUCACCGGCCUCCGGAGAGAGUCUGUCUGAAUGUUUCUGGAGGCAUUUCUCACAAAUUCCCCUUGUGUUUAUUAAUCUCACACCUUGGGGGGGCAGUCAGUGCCUCCCAUGGCUGGUGUUGAUGGAGCACCUGUGAUGGGCCAGGUGCUGGGCCAAAGGCUUUUCAAACCCUCACACCUGUGCGGUGAGGGAGGCAUUAUUAUCAGUCCCAUUCUACGGAUGGAGAAACUGAGGUUCAGAGAGGCAAAGAGAAUUGCUCUGGGUCUCAUAGCUGGCAAGGGGUGGCGUCAGGAUUUGAUCCCAUGGGCUGCCUGGAUCCCGAGCUGUCCAUUCUUCAUAAACUCUGUGGCUCCAUCAGGAUUAUCUGUAAUGAGAGGCUCAGAGGGCCCAGGCUCAGGGCCACACAGCUCGUGUCAGAAGGGUCCAGGCCGCAGGUCAACAGCAGUGGGAGAAUAUGCAGAGUCCUAGAAGGGCAGGUGUGGAGGGAACAAAUCACUCAGCCCUCCCAAGUCCUUCAAGUCCAUCUUGUGAUGGAUGGGAACCAAGACCUGGAGGCGGAAGUGACUAAUUUCUCUUCUUUACAAUACGUACGUUAAUCUAGGCUUUCUGACCCUUGAUGCUAUUGUCAUUUUAGGCAGAUAACUCUUUGUUGUAGGGCUGUCCUGUGCACUGUAGGGUAUUCAGCAGCAUCCCUGGCCUCUACCCACUGGAUGCCAGUAGCACCCCCACCCCAGUUCUAACAAGCAACAGUGUCUUCAGACAUUGCCCAGUGUCUCCUGGGUUGGGGGUGGGGAAGGGUACUGAGCCGCCCCAGUUGAAAUCCUUUCGUUAAUCUGAUCAGAGCAUUUACUUGCUUCAAAUUCUCCAUGUUUCCCCUAGUUUUUCCAGAUAAAACCCAAACUCCUUUGCUGGGUCUAUCAAGAUUUCGGUGGGAUGGCCCUGCUAACACUUGGGCUCUGCAGUCCCCUCCCUGAGCACAGUAACAAGUCACAGCUGACGGGUCCUGGGCACUUCCUAUGCACCGCGAAACUUCUUAGUCAAGGCUCCUCAGAGAGUUGCCAUCCUUAUGUCACAGUUUACAAGCUGGAGGUCUCUAGAGUCUAAGAAAGGUGUCUAGAGCCAGCCGGUUAGUGCCUGGCAGAACCUCAACUUAAAUCCCAGCGUUCUGACCUUGACCCAGGAAAUGUCUGCUUCACGCUUCGGGUUCUGGCCGGUGCGCAAUACCAACAACCCACUUCUCAGAUGCGCCCUGCUCACUCCCCUUCCGGGCUGUGCUUCUCUUAGCGCUCCCCCCCCCCCCCCCCCCUGAAUCCUAGUGCUCGCACAGAUCUGGGCCCAGCUGGUGUUUGAUAACUCAGGAGAGCGUCAGGCCAGGCCGUUCCUCUGCCAGAACUGCCUUCAUCAGGGAUCAUUUGCUUGGCAAAAACAAACGCACUGGAGCUAACGUAAAUAAAGGGAAAGCCACUGCGAGGAGUGAGGGUAUCUGGUGGGCCUCGAGGGCAAGAACUUGUUCAGGUCCCCUCUCACUUAAAACUAGAAAUUCUUCACAAGACCUUGGUCCCGGGAAUUGGAAAGCUGGCAGGAAUCAGACUCACUCUUUAUCCUCUUUGUCUUUGGGUCCUAGGGGAAGGCUUUUCUCUUUCUCUGCUGCAUUCUCCUGCGGUUUGCUGCAGACAAGCUCUCCAGGUCUCUCUAUAUCAGAACAUGGGGCCCCCAAAUGGCUGCCCAGGAUGGCUGGCCUAGUCCACUCGGGCUGCUCUAACAAAGUACUGCAGACUGGGGAGCUUCUCAACAACACAAGUAUAUUGCUCACAGUUCUGGAGGCUGGAAGUCCAAGGUCAGGGUGCCAGCAAGGUGAGUUCUGAUAAAGACUCUCUUCCGGGUAGCAGGAUGCCAGCUUCUCGCUGCAUCCCCACAUGGCAGAAACAGCAAGCAUCUCUCUGGGGCCUCCCUUAUAAAAGCACUAAUCCCACUCAGGAGGGCUCCACCUCGCAACCUAAUCACUUCCCAGAGACCCCACCUUCUCCUGAUACCAUCACCUCAGGGGUUGGGUUUCAGCACAUGAAUCUGGGGGGAAACAAACAUUCAGACCACAGCCGUGGCUGCUCCAACAUGGGCGAUCCCACCUCAAGUCCACGCUCCUUGAAAGUUUAGUCCAUGUAGCUGCUUGAUUCAAGUCCAAGCUCUAACACCAGGUAACCAGGAGGGAACUCCGAUUGGCCCUGCUUGGGUCAGGAGGUCAAUAAGCUAUAGAUGGGGGGCAGGAGUCAAGGACCAUGGACCCCUCAGUAGGGGCUCUGGGAACAAGCUCUCUCAGAAGAGGAAGUAGGCUGGGAGGAGGGAAGAAAUGACUGACAGGGGAAUCAGAAAGCAAGCAACAUUCAUGGUAGAGGAAGUGAUCAGGUAGAAGGAAGACCUGCCGUCUCUCAGAUUGUCCUGGGGGUCCCUUGGGUUGAGGACACAUCUCCUCACCUCUGCAAGGAAUGGUGGAGCUCAAAGGCCUGUGCCAAGCCUGAGGGAGGCCCACCCAAUGAAGCCACCACAUAGUCCCUUCACAGACUUUGCCCCCACAACUCCACACACUUUGAGGCACUUAAAUGGGUCUGUUGCUCAAUGCUUAAGUGUCUACAAGUCUCAGAGAACAGGUGGAGAUGCAGACAAAGUACAAAAGGGCUCCUGCGUGCUAGCCUGGAAUGGGCUCCAACAGCCGUCGGCUGAGUCCUCCAGAAUUAUUUCCUCAGCCCAUGCUCUGCUUCCGGCCCCUGGUUUCCAACUAACAGCAGCAGCUAGUGGGGUAGGGUGGGGGCGGGGAGACCUGACAGAUAGUUGAGGCCAAACCAGAGCAGAACACUGUCACUGAAAUGUGGUUCUUCCUCUUCUCCUGGAGGAGACAGGAUGGGAAAGGAGGGUCUGAUGGCUCUGUACGCCCCAGGUUAUGGCUCUGGUGUGCUGCCUAUAUGGUACAACCAGGGCUUAUAUCCUCCCCUUAGAGGAGGGCGCCCCCAUUCCAACCACCAUCUCAGAUGGCCUGGAGAGCUGGCUGGAGGCACGCAGUAUCUUCUAUCUUCUUCAAAUACUUCAACCCAAACAACACAUCCCAAUAGGUGUAAUGCAGAACAGAUAAGAGAAUCUAGCUAUUUUCGAUUAAGACAGGCAUUGAAAAGAUUUGCAAAAGUAUAAAACAAUAUAUCUAUUUUUUGCCUUAGAAAUAUAGUUAGUUUUCAUAAAAAUAUGAUAGCUAUGUGUUAUGGACUGAAUGUUUGUGUCCUCCCAAAAUUCCUAUGUUGAAAUCCUAAUUGUUUAUCCUAUGAAGAGAGAGGCCUCUGGGAGGUGAUUAGCUCUUGAGGGUGGAGCCCUCACAAAUGGGAUUAGUGUCGUUAUAACCGGCCCCCAGAGCUCUCGCUAGCCCUCUUUCUAGCAUGUGAGGAUACAAUGAGAAGGCUGCAGUCUGCAACCUAGAAGCCGGCCUCAUCAGAAUCCAACCACGCAGGCACCAUGAUCUCAGACUUGCAGACUCCAGAACCGUGACAAAUAAAUUUCUGCCAUUUAUAAGCCACUUAGUCUGUGAUACUUCAUUAUAGCUGCCCAAACUGACUCAGACAGUGUGUUAACAUAUACUAGGUUUAUUAUUAUUUGAAUGAACUAAUAAAUAUUUUAAACUCACAUUAAAAAAAAUGUCUUUGGAGUCCUGUAGUUUUAAGGGUAUAAAGAGCUCUGAGAUCAAAGUUUGAGAACAUUUAUUCAAACUAUUUUAUGCAUAAACCCACUUUUUCACUUCAGUAUGACAAAUAAAACUGGCAAGCAAUAGGAUAUA